ACUUUAGGAAGUGUGUCUCCUAUGGUGAAACAUAUCUUAGGAAGUGCGUCUCCUAUGGUGAAACAUAUAAACUUUAGGAAGUGCGUCUCCUAUGGUGAAACUGAAACUUAGGAAGUGCGUCUCCUAUGGUAAAACUGAACUUAGGAGGAAAUGCAUCUCCUAUGGGUGAAACUGAACAAACCUAGGAGGAAAUGCAUCUCCUAUGGGUAAAACUAGAACUUAGGAGGAAAUGCAUCUCCUAUGGGUGAAGACGUGGAAUGUAUGCCUCUAUUAUCUGGGCGGGCUCCCAAUUUUAACACUUGAAAUAAAAAGACUGAAUGUAUGCCUCUAUUAUCUGGGCGGGCUCCCAACUUCAACACUUGAAAUAAAAAGACUGAAUGUAUGCCUCUAUUAUCUGGGCGGGCUCCCAACUUCGACACUUGAAAAUAAAAAGACUGAAUUUAUGCCUCUGUUAUCUGGGCGGGCUCCCAAUUUCAACACUUAAAAGUAAAGACUGAAUGUAUUCCUCUGUUAUUAUGGGCGGGCUCCCAAUUUCAACACUUGAAAGUAAAAACUGAAUGUAUGCCUCUGUUAUCUGGGCGGGCUCCCAACUUCAACACUUAAAAUAAAAGACUGAAACCAACAUAUCCUAUUUGAGGGCGGAUGAACCCAACAUAUCCUAUUUGAGGGCGGAUGAACCCAACAGAUCUUAUUUGAGGGCGGAUUAACCCAACAGAUCCUAUUUGAGGGCGGAUUAACCCAACAGAUCCUAUUUGAGGGCGGAUUAACCCAAUUUCAACACUUAAAAUAAAAGACUGAAUGUAUGCCUCUAUUAUCUGGGCGGGCUCCCAAUUUCAACACUUAAAAGUAAAGACUGAAUGUAUGCCUCUAUUAUCUGGGCGGGCUCCCAAUUUCAACACUUAAAAUAAAAGACUGAAUGUAUGCCUCUAUUAUCUGGGCGGGCUCCCAACUUCGACACUUAAAAUAAAAAGACUGAAUGUAUGCCUCUGUUAUCUGGGCGGGCUCCCAAUUUCAACACUUAAAAUAAAAGACUGAA
rnacentral:lncRNA from 1 species